rnacentral:rRNA from 1 species
GUGGGGAAUAUUGGACAAUGGGGGGAACCCUGAUCCAGCCAUGCCGCGUGUGUGAAGAAGGCCUUUUGGUUGUAAAGCACUUUAAGCGAGGAGGAGGCUACCGAGAUUAAUACUCUUGGAUAGUGGACGUUACUCGCAGAAUAAGCACCGGCUAACUCUGUGCCAGCAGCCGCGGUAAUACAGAGGGUGCGAGCGUUAAUCGGAUUUACUGGGCGUAAAGCGUGCGUAGGCGGCUUUUUAAGUCGGAUGUGAAAUCCCCGAGCUUAACUUGGGAAUUGCAUUCGAUACUGGGGAGCUAGAGUAUGGGAGAGGAUGGUAGAAUUCCAGGUGUAGCGGUGAAAUGCGUAGAGAUCUGGAGGAAUACCGAUGGCGAAGGCAGCCAUCUGGCCUAAUACUGACGCUGAGGUACGAAAGCAUGGGGAGCAAACAGGAUUAGAAACCCCGGUAGUCC